rnacentral:tRNA from 1 species
GUGGCUCCGUGGUAGAGCACCUGGCCGGCAUCCAGACGGCCCCAAGUUCAAUUCCUGAAAUCCCCA